rnacentral:rRNA from 1 species
GGUGAACGCUGGCGGCGUGCUUAAGACAUGCAAGUCGAACGCAGUCUUCGGACUGAGUGGCGCACGGGUGAGUAACACGUAACUGACCUACCCCCAAGUCGCGGAUAACUGGCCGAAAGGUCAGCUAAUACGUGAUGUGAUGUCCCCUUUCUGGGGGGCCAUUAAAGGUUUACUGCUUGGGGAUGGGGUUGCGUUCCAUCAGUUAGUUGGCGGGGUAAAGGCCCACCAAGGCAACGACGGAUAGCCGGCCUGGGAGGGUGGCCGGCCACAGGGGCACUGAGACACGGGUCCCACUCCUACGGGAGGCAGCAGUUAGGAAUCUUCCACAAUGGGCGAAAGCCUGAUGGAGCGACGCCGCGUGAGGGAUGAAGGUUCUCGGAUCGUAAACCUCUGAAUCAGGGACGAAAGACGCGUAAGCGGGAUGACGGUACCUGAGUAAUAGCACCGGCUAACUCCGUGCCAGCAGCCGCAGUAA